AAAAUUUUAAGUUAAUUAUAAACUAUAAAUUUUCAAAGUUUACAAUAUAAAUUUUUUAUAAAUUUUA